ensembl:snRNA U6 U6 spliceosomal RNA
GUGCUCACUUCGGCAGCACAUAUAAUAAAAUUGGAACAAUACAGGGAAGAUUAGCAGGAUGACACUCAAAUUCGUGACGUAUUCCAUAUUUUU